UUCUUAUUUUUCCAGCUCGACAUCAUCUACGAUGGGACCUGCAAAUGUAAGAAUUAACCCUGUUGGUGGAGCUGUAUUUAUAGCUCUUGGUGUAUGUGCAGCUUUGUACAUGUUUGGUCUUCCCGACUGGUUCCAUAGAGAACCCAGAGUUAGCAUGAAAGAACUUUUAUCAGUGUGUAUACAGCUUGCACAAGAAGGGGGCAAACGAGUAAAAGAUGUAAGACUAGCAAGUAAUGAACUCGCGGAAAAUCUGAAAGGAAAAACUGACGAAGGUGUCAAAGAUGUUAAGACAGAAGGAGAUACACAGUCUCACAGGGCUAUUGUAUAUGGAUUGGCAAAAGCAUUCCCUGGUCUGAAGGUUAUAUCUGAAGAAAAAGAUCUUAAGCCUGUGAAUUUACUGGAAAUUAAAGACACAAAUAAACAUUUAACUGAAGUUGCAGAAACAAUAUCCAGUGACCAGUCAAUAUCAAACUCGAAAAUUACAGUAUGGGUGGACCCUCUUGAUGCUACAAAAGAAUACACUGAAAAGAAGUUAGAGUAUGUGGCCACCAUGGUUUGUGUUGCAGUAGAUGGCCAUCCUACUAUUGGUGUCAUACAUAAACCAUUUGUCAAUGAUAAUAAAGGGGAGACAGUUUGGGCUUGGGUUGGAUAUGGAAAAUCCAAAACCUUAGAAGCAGUUAAGACUGAAAAGAAGGAAGGUGAUCCUGAUAGAAUUAUAGUAUCAAUAUCUCACAAAGGGGAUGUAGAAUCAGUAGCUAAAGCUGCGUUAGGGGAGAAAACUCAAGUAUUGAAAGGAGCGGGUGCAGGCUAUAAAACUUUAGAAGUAAUUAAAGGUAAUGCAGAUGCAUAUCUUCACACAACAAAAAUAAAAAAGUGGGAUUUAUGUGCAGCUAAUGCAAUUUUAAGUUCUAUGGAUGGUAAAAUGACAACAUUACAAGGAGAUUUUAUUGACUAUUCAUCUACUACAGAUAAAGUGGUUUCUGAUGGUUUAUUAGUGACUUUGUCAAAUCAUUUUGAUUAUUUGAAAAAACUAGCAGGUGCUAUGAAGAAAUCUGAUGCAUAGUGUAUAGUAAUACUGUUAGAAUAUACUACUGUUAGUAUAUAAUACUGUUAGUAUAAUUAUAUGGGGAAAUUUGUUCAUGAUUGUUAUCGUUAAAAAAUGCAAUUUAGCUAUUCUCAACAGUUCAAACUAUAAUUCUCACACGUUUUUAAGGUUCAUAACCAUGGAGUGAUCAUAAGACCUAUUAUGCAAAAGGUGAAGUUGUUGUCUCGCCUUGACGGAGUCAAAAAGCGAGACAUAGGUAUACUGUUGUCGGCGGCGGCGUCAACAAUGUAUUAGUUUGUGAUUAGAUCUAGUUUAUGGUGAACUACUAGUGGUAGGUCAUUGAUAUUUGGUAUGCAAUUGUAUUAGCAUUGGCACAUCUCAUUUCCAUGGAGAUUAUUUGGCCCUGCCCCCUCAGUCAUGGUCUAUUGACUUUGAAACUUUUGCUUGGUUUACAUGUAUAAGUUUGUGAUUAGGUCAGUUCAAGGGGAACCAUUAGUGGUAGGCCAAUGAUAAUUGGUAUGGAAUUGUAUAAGCAUUGGCACAUCUCAUUUCCAUUGAGAAUAUUUGGCCCUACCCCUCAGUCAUGGUCUAUUGACUUUGAAACUUUUGCUUAGUUUACAUGUAUUAGUUUGUGAUUAGAUCAGUUUAAGAUGAACCGCUAAUGUUAAGUCAAUGAUAUUUGGUAUGCAAAUUUAUUGGCAGUUGCAAGUCUCAUUUACAAGGAGAUUAUAUAGCCCCACCCCCUCAUCAUGGUUCAUUGACUUUGAAGCUUUUUACAUAGUUUACAAUUUAAUGUUUGUGUUUAGGUUUGUUUAAAGGGAACAACUUAUGAUAAGUCAAUGGUACAUGUAUUUGGUAUGCAGUUGUAUUAGCAUUGGUACAUCUCAUUUCCAUGGAGAUUGUUUAGCCAUGUACCUUCAGUCAUAGUUCAUGGAUAUGAAUAUUUGAAUAACUUACAUGUUAAAGUAUUGCUAUUUUAAUUUCAACAUUUGCAUUAUCUAAAUUACCAAAAGGCGAGACAUAUCUCUGUGAUAAUAGUUUAUUUAAAUUAAAAGUAUUGACUCCGUCCUGCACUACACAUGACAGAGAUUCAGUAUUCAAAGAUAUUUUAGGGGGAGAGUAGUGCCAAUUUCAGUAUCAGGAGGGGGGACUUAUCUCAAAUUGUUGUGUACCAAAUAUGGAUUUAAGAAAAAGAUAAUUUCAUUUCAUUUGUAGCAUUGAUCUCUUUAAGAAUUUCCUGGUAAAGACUUCAGACUAUUUGUUUAUCUAGCCAUUCAAUGUUUGUUGGUCUUAUUACUGAAAUGUAAGUCUAGCAAUCAUUUGUGUAGUCAUAAUUAUUUAUUUCUGAAACAAUCUGGGUAAAACAUGUGUAGAGGUUUUAGGUUGAAAUGUUGAGAUAUAUUACAUUUAUUUUGAACAGUAUUAUUAUGAUGAUAUUUAUUAGUCUACUGUGUGUCCCAUGAAUUUGGAGAAAAUUUUCUCUUUGUGUAUGAUUUUAUUAUUGUGCUGAAUCUAAAAAUGAAUAAAUUCUUUAGUCCAAGUUUAAUCACAUUGUCCAUAUGAAAGACAGGAAAUACUUUCUGAUGUGAAGAAGGCCAUCAUCCAUAAAACUUAAGCUGAUUCUACAUAUCAUCAAAUGUACAAAGGAACCUAAACAGAAUAGCCAAACCAAGUAAGGUCAAAUUUUCUACUUCACAAUUCCUGGAACACUCAGUAGAUUAUAAUUAGCAUAAGUAUGAUUUUAAGCAACCAUCAUACUUUUGGGUAUUUUAAAUGUAUUUUCUUGGAAGAUCAAUUUUGCCAAAUAAAUAUAUUUUUAGCGUGUACUUAGUGAACUAUUCUAGUCUUUAUUCUAUCGUAAUGAUCAAACUAUUAUUGUCAAACUGUUUCUUUGCUAGUCAUAUUUGUUUGUGGUAUUGAUUAUAUUGUUAGUUACUUUGCAUUAUACACCAGAACAUAUCCUAAAUGCCUCUAUUCAAACCAUUACUAUGUUAAAAAAAAAGUUUCAAGCUACAUUCAUUAAUAUUUUAUGUAAAGGAGAAGGUACAAAAACAAUUCUGAACCAAAAGGCAAUAGGUUCAAUGCUAAAUUAAGUACCUCUUACUUAAAAAAUCUUUUGUAAAUAUUUCACAUGUAACUGGUGACAAGUUAUGCCAUGCUAUAUAGUGGAAAACUUUUAUUCACUGAUUUUGGUUUUAAUGAUAUAUCAAUGACGUAAAAAAAUUAGGGUUUUUGACUAUUGGUGUUUAUGAAAGCAAGUGGAAAGAAGAAUUUCAUUGGAUUGUAAUCUUAUCAAAAUCCAUUGUUAUAUUUUCUUUGUACAGCUUUUUAUGUAUAUGCAUAGCACUCAGCUUCAUAUCACAAGUAUAGAAAUUAUCUUUUAUCCAAAACUUAAAUGAUAUCCAAACUUUACAGCGACCUAUAGUUGCUAACAUCCAAGUCAUUUGGUCUCAGGUGGAUAGUCUGUUUGGCAAUCAUAUCACAUCUCCUUUUUCUAUAUCAGGCACAGAUCCAGCCAUUUUGAAAAAGGGGGUUCCAACCCUCAAAACACCAUGAAACGUUAACAUAAUUAAAAAAAUUUAAAGAUAAAAAAAAUCGGGGGAAAAAAAGGGGGAUUCAUAUCCCUGGAACCCCCCCCCCCCCCCCCCCCUUUUUGAAGCUUCCCCUGGAUCCAAUGUAUAUUUAUAUCCAGAUGAUUUUUAUAACAAGGUUCCUAGAAAAAAAGUUGGUUAUUAUUUUGGUAAAGUAAACAAGUGGUUAGCUGCCAACAGUUUACAUGCAAUAACUUAUGAAACGUUCUACAAAUGCUUUUCAACUUUGAAUAUAUUGAUACUGAUUUCAAAAUGGAGGUCAAGUUGGAUAUUGAGGAUUUUACUUUUACAGUUCAGGAGUUAUGGUCCUUGAUAUAGUGGAAAAUGGCUCUGUUUGUUCUUUCCAUUCAAUAUCUUAUGAACCCUUCUACUGAUGGUUUUCAAAUUAUAAAAUGUUGUCACUAAUGACAAAAUGGAGGUCGAGUGUGAUAUUAAUGAUUCUCACUUUUGCCGUUCAGGAGUUAUGGUCCUUAAUCUAUUUGACAGCUCAUUCCUUCUUUAGAUUACUAUACUAUGUAUAGGUUUUCUAAAUAGGCAUGUAUUCUUAUGUCAGUGAAGUCCCAUGUAGAAAUAUGUAAGUAAUUUAUCUUUUUAUCAAUUUAGUCCAAUGUAGACAUGUGUAAUUACAUGUAUCUUUAUUCUUGUGUUAUUUAGUCCCCUGUAGGAGAAUGUAAUUAAUGUAUCGUUAUAAUUGUGUUAUUUAUGUGAACUUUGUCUUCCAAUUUGUGGUACCAAAGAUGUAUUGAUUAUCCAUUAUCGGCAUCAUGCAUUCCAUUAUAUUUUAAUUAGAAUAAUGCUUUAGAUGUUCCAGGACCAAUGGGACUCGCUUAUGAGAACACAGAUAAUUUCACGAUUCAUUUGUUAGACUGUUACAAUAGCUAGAAAAACUGUUAUCUUGACAUCUUGUCCUGGUAUGUAAUAAAAUGAAAAUACAUGUACAACAUUAAGUUUAAAAUCCUAUUAUUUAUUGUUUUUUUGCUUCACAAUUUUUCCAAUAGCACUUUGUAUUGAACAGUAAAAAUACUACAAACAGAAAAUGGAGAAUAAAACAAGCUGUCACAUACACAACCAUACAAAAUGAUUUAUACAGUCAUCCAUUAUGAAAUUGAAUCAAAUCUGAUGUUAAAAAGAAUUUGAACAGGUGUUUAAUACAGUAAAUUAAACUAUAGAGGGAAGGUUUUGUUUGUUUGUUUCCUAUGUGACCUUUUCAUUGUCUUUUUACUCAUGUUCUCAUAAGAAAUAAUAGGUGUAUUUGUGGAAAGAAAUCAAAAGUAUUAAGGGGAAAAUUUUGCCCUGGCAUUAUGAGAAAUAUUUAGAAAAAAUUUUGGAGACAUCUUUAAAAAAGUUGUGAUAAUUUAUUUCCUGGCAGAUUAAACUUUGAUCUUACUUAAUCUGUACCAUCAUUGAGCACAUGACGACUAAAGAGAUUAGGAUGGAAGGUCAAAAUAUAGAAAAUGAGUUGAGGAAAACUAGAGAUUUUGGGAAAAAAUAAUCACCAUACAAUUUAUAAAUUUCAUUAAAAUGUGUAUAAUAGAUAUAUAUAUAUAUGUAUUACAGGGCUCACACUACUUCAGAAUCAUAGGGAGAAAUGACUUCUCUUUUUGAAACUGAUAGGGAGAAGUGGUAAAAUUUGAAAGAGAAGUGCUUGUUCGCUUACGGCACUAUAAUGUUUGGUUUUUACUAUAAUAUUAAGGGCCAUAUUUAUCCUUUCUAUUUAUUUUUUAUAUUGUUCAAUUCAAAUCUGAGUAUACAAUUAAAGUAACAGUUGUUUCAGUUUAUGUCAUGUAUGUCUUUCAUAAAUAAUCAUUAAUAGUUGCACAAUUAUAUUAGUCCUCAAGAUUGUCAGAAACUACCAACUAAAUAUCUAGCACUAAAAAGAACUUUUGUUAUAUCAAAAUGGAAAAGAAUGUAUCAUAUAUCAAUUAAAAUUCAAUUAAAAAACUAUUCUGUUUAUCAUGUUUAUGAAACUCAUUGUCAAAUAAGGACCUCAAAAAUUGUGAAUGUUUUAAUGCUGUCAUAAUUGACUUUAUGAUAAAGACCACCACUAUCAGUAUUCUCCUCUGGUGCUCAUCUUUUUUGUUCAAUCCCUGCCUUGGUCAAACCAAAAAUACAGAUAUUAAAACCAGUAUUUGGUGCUUCUCCAUCAAUGAAAACAAUCUUUCAAUUUUUAGGGUGGAGUAACUGCAUAUUAAUUACUGAGUACUAUUGGUUUAAUGUUUCAUUAUGUAAGUUUACAAAGAUUCUGCAAUUAACUUUACAAAAUUUUUUUUUUUAAUUUUUAUUUUAAAGUGGGGAAUAACAUGACUUAGUAUCAGGUGUUGUGUAUAAUUUAUGUUUAAAAUAUCCUUUGUCAUUUUUACCCUUGAAAAUGUCAUGUAAAAAGAUAUGUAUAUACCUUCAAACUUAUUGUUUAUUAUUGUCAUAUCUGAUUUACUUUCUAAAUUUUGUUCAUACUUUGUAUUCACUGUAAAUAUAAUCAUUUCACAAAGAACAAGAGAAUUUGUUUCAUCCAUUUUUCAUCUAGUCUUUAUGUACAACUGUAAGUUAACAUCUGCUCAUAUACAAAAUAAGUAAAUACUGUGUAUUUUAUACAGCAAGUCUCGUCAUUCAUUUUUACAUUAUAUAUGAACAAAGUGGAAAUGUAAGAUUCCUUCUCUCAAAGGUGAUCUCCAUAAUAUUUUUAAAUACCAAUGUAUAUUUUAAGACUGUCUUAUUACACUGAUGCAAGGUUAUUUCCAUAGUUAUAUAUUAUGCAACAAAUCAAUUUUGUUUAGAGCUCUGUUGGAUUGUUUAAACAAAACACAUCACAUUUUUCCCCUGAAAUCAGCAGAUUUUAUUUAUAAAUCAUGUUAUGAAAUAUUGAUUUCUUACCUUAACAAAUUACAAUUUGGUAAUCUUUUUAUUGAUAACAAUAGGACUAAAAUAGUAGAUGCACAGAUGUACAGUUAUCAUAUUCCAAUAUUUUAAGACCUUGAAUACAGAAAAAAUAUUGUUAACAAGUUAUUGUACCUAAAAGAAUAGAAAUUUUCUUGUAGUUGUUUGUGUGAGUUGGUGAUUGUGGAAAAUGACCUGAUACACAAUAUAGAUGUAUACAUUGUUAGUUAGAAUUUCAGGAAAACAAUUCAAAAGCCCAUAAAUAUUAAGGAAAACAUGUCAAGAAAUGAUAAACUGCAUUUAAAACACAUACAAUUAGGAUUUUUGUAGUAUAAUACUUACAAAUUUUUAACAUAAUUUAUCCUAUUUCUAUUGAAUAAAUAUUUUCUGAAUAGAUGAACAUUGCAGAUAUUGAGAUCCAUUAAUGUUUUAAUAUAAGUGUACAAUCUGUGACAAUAGUAUUUCAUAAUAUUUAAAGUAAUGAAACUGGGUGAUUUUAUGGAAAAGGGUUUUAUUUACAAUUGUUUUAUUCAGACUACUAAAUAAUUUUUCAGCAUGUUCAGCAUAAGAGAGGUGAAAGAUACCAAAGGGACAUUUAAACUCUUUAAGUCGAAAAACAAUCUGACAAAGCCUUGGUAUUCCCUUACUGCUGCUGCUAAUAUCAGAAUAACUGUUUGACUGGUGUAAUUUUUAUUUCACCUGCAAUUGAAAUUACAUAAUUUAUAUGUAUUUUAAACAAACUAUUCAUGUUAGUCCUCAGCAGAAAACCUGUAUUAUGGUCAGCUUGGUACAUUUUUCAGUACAGACCUAACUUGGGUAGAAUUAUUCAUAUAUAUUCAAUAUUUGUUAUUUUAGAUAUGAUUUUUAAAAAUGUGUUGUACUGCUCAUUCAUAUUUAGUGUUUCAGAUCUCAUAGACAUUGUUUAUUAUUGUUAUAUGUAUAUAAGAUUAACUUGGUAAUUAAUUGGUUUAAGGAGUGACAAAUGGGAGGAAAGGUAGAAAAAGUGAAAGGAGUGACUGAUGGAAAAAGGUGUAAAUAAAUAUCAUAUAUUACUGUAAAAUAUUCACUGUGAAAUCAUACAGUUCUUUUAUUUAUUGACACUGGGCUGUUGGUUUCCUAUAAAUCCAAAUAUUGUGAUAAAAUUUACUUUUUGUUGAAUAUUCAGAGAUUCAAUGGAUUUGUGUGAUUUAGAUGUAUCUUUUCACAGACUUGAUAACAUGGAAUAAAAACCAUGAAGUAAAUGUGUAUAGUUGCUGUAAUAUGUGUAAAUGGAACAUCAAAUUUCCUCAAACCAUGAAUGGUGGUCUUUUAAAAGCAUUUUUGUGUAUUGACUGAGAACUAAUUAAAUUAGCCUGAAUAUGCCUUGAUUCAUACUUAGAACCUUUUAUCCAGAAUAGAUGUUUAUAUUUUAUUUUCAAAAAUGGUUUGUCAAAUGUAUUCAUUUAAAUAGUUAGGCAGCAAAUCUGUCUGCAAAAGGUGUUGAAUUGUUUUGUGAAGUUUAUGUGUACCACAGUAUGAGAACUUCGCUGGCUAUUUUUUUGUCAGCAUUUGACAAAUUAUUAAGGUUUUCCUGUUACAUUAUUUAGAAGUAUGGUGUAAGAUAGAAAGUAUGUGUAUAGAUGAACUAUUGUUAAAUUAAUAUGUUAUCAUUGUCAUUUUAAUGAAUAUCAAUAUAUAUAAUAAAAAGCCUUGGAAUAUAA